rnacentral:tRNA from 1 species
GCAGUGGUGGCUCAGGGGUAGAGUUCUCGCUUUCCACGUGGGAGACCCGGGUUCGAUUCCUGGCCAGUGUA